CUCCUUACAACUACUGAGAUCAAGACUUGAAGAUCUGAGAGAAAUUCUGAUGUCAGACUUAACAAUCAAGUGCUACAUGGAUCCCACUACACUCCAAGAUUCCUUACAACUACUGGAUUCAAGUCUUGAAAAUCUUAAUGAAAUUCUGAUAUUAGGCCUUUCUUCAUCAUUUCCAAGCUCAACAAUGAAACACUUCAUGGAUCACAGUACCCUCGAAAGCUCCUUCCACCUACUAAGCUCAAGCCUUGAAAAUCUGGGAAAAAUGUUGAUGUCAGGUAAGGGGCUUGCUAAAUGGAACCCAGGGAGUCUGGAUUCAAAGCCAAAUGUAAACUGACCUGUCACCUGGGGAUGGGACUUCUAGUCCACUUAGAUGAUGAUUCUUCACAGGUGAGCUUCCACCUUUAUGGAAACUAGGGACAGGUAACUAAAAUAGAAGGUCAGAAGAACUACAGAGGAAUGCUAAGAGUCACAGGCUAGAAAUGAUCCUGCUUGGAUUUGCAGUGCUGGAGUUGAAUUUGACACAUGAAGAAACUGGACACCCACGGUGGUCAGCAGUGAGUCUAGUCCAAAUGGCACCCAUAGCUCAGCUCAGAAUAUGAGUGGAUUCUGAAAACCAGGCGUCAUGCAGCUCCUGGGGUUUCUAGAAGGUCCCUUCCCUUGAGAUGGACCCUAAAAAGAGGGAAGGCUCCUGCCUCAGCUUCAGCAUGACUUCCCUUGGACCUUCCCUUGAGAUGGACCCUACAAAGAGGGAAGGCUCCUGCCCCAGCUUCAGCAUGACUUCCCUUGUUCCAAGUUACUCAGGCAAAACCGUUGCCUCUUCCUCUUCUCAAGCAUCAAAGUAGC
rnacentral:lncRNA from 1 species